AACCUUCAUAAGGACACCGGCGACCACGACAACAAUAGAAUAACAAUAGAUUUCCAAGAAUCCGCGAUCGAAGGAUUAAACUUUAUUCAGUUAC